rnacentral:rRNA from 1 species
CCCGCUGAACUUAAGCAUAUCAAUAAGCGGAGGAAAAGAAACUAACAAGGAUUCCCCUAGUAACGGCGAGUGAAGCGGGAAGAGCUCAAAUUUAAAAUCUGGCAGUCUUUGGUUGCCCGAAUUGUAAUCUAGAGAAGCGUUUUCCGUGCUGGACUGUGUACAAGUUUCCUGGAUACGGAACAUCAUAGAGGGUGAGAAUCCCGUCCUUGACACAGACCCCCAGUACUUUUGUGAUGCGCUCUCGACGAGUCGAGUUGUUUGGGAUUGCAGCUCAAAAUGGGAGGUAAAUUCCUUCUAAAGCUAAAUAUUGGCGAGAGACCGAUAGCGAACAAGUACCGUGAGGGAAAGAUGAAAAGCACUUUGGAUAGAGAGUUAAACAGUACGUGAAAUUGUUAAAAGGGAAACGCUUGAAGUCAGUCACGUUUGCUUGGACUCAGCCUUUCUUCGGUUUGGUGCAUUUCCUUGCAGACGGGCCAGCGUCCAUGUUGUUUGCCGGAGAAGGGGUGAGAGAAUGUGGCUCCUUUGGGAGUGUUAUAGCUCUUGCUCGUAUGCGGGGAAUGAUAUGGAGUGGUACAGCACACUUUGGUGGUGCUUGUGCUGGCAUAAUGGCUUUAAACGACCCGUCUUGAAACACGG